rnacentral:rRNA from 1 species
AUAUUGCACAAUGGGCGGAAGCCUGAUGCAGCAACGCCGCGUGAGCGAAGAAGGCCUUUGGGUCGUAAAGCUCUGUCCAAGGGGAAGAUAAUGACGGUACCCUUGGUGGAAGCCCCGGCUAACUACGUGCCAGCAGCCGCGGUAAUACGUAGGGGGCGAGCGUCAUCCGGAAUUAUUGGGCGUAAAGAGUGCGUAGGCGGUUUUUUAAGCGUGGGGUGAAAGGCAUAGGCUCAAGCUAUGUAAGCCCCGCGAACUGGAAGGCUUGAGUGCAGGAGAGGAAAGCGGAAUUCCUAGUGUAGCGGUGAAAUGCGUAGAUAUUAGGAGGAACACCAGUGGCGAAGGCGGCUUUCUGGACUGUAACUGACGCUGAGGCACGAAAGCGUGGGUAGCGAACA